rnacentral:rRNA from 1 species
UACGUAGGGCGCAAGCGUUAUCCGGAAUUAUUGGGCGUAAAGAGCUCGUAGGCGGUUUGUCGCGUCUGCCGUGAAAGUCCGGGGCUCAACUCCGGAUCUGCGGUGGGUACGGGCAGACUAGAGUGAUGUAGGGGAGACUGGAAUUCCUGGUGUAGCGGUGAAACGCGCAGAUAUCAGGAGGAACACCGGUGGCGAAGGCGGCUUUCUGGGCCUUACCUGACGCUGAGGAGCGAAAGCUGGGGGGAGCAAACAGG